CCUACGGGUGGCAGCAGUGAGGAAUAUUGGUCAAUGGGCGCGAGCCUGAACCAGCCAAGCCGCGUGAAGGAUGACUGCUCUACGGGUUGUAAACUUCUUUUAUAAAGGAAUAAAGUGAGGCACGUGUGCCUUUUUGUAUGUACUUUAUGAAUAAGGAUCGGCUAACUCCGUGCCAGCAGCCGCGGUAAUACGGAGGAUCCGAGCGUUAUCCGGAUUUAUUGGGUUUAAAGGGUGCGUAGAUGGGUUGUUAAGUCAGUUGUGAAAGAUCGAGGCUCAACAGUAAAAUUGCAGUUAAUACUGGAAGCCUUGAGAACAGAUGAGGUAGGCGGAAUGCGUGGUGUAGCGGUGAAAUGCUUAGAUAUCACGAAGAACACCGAUUGCGAAGGCAGCUUGCUA
rnacentral:rRNA from 1 species